rnacentral:rRNA from 1 species
GAUGAACGCUGGCGGCGUGCCUACACAUGCAAGUCGAACGGAGAUUACGGACGGAAGUUUUCGGAUGGAAGCCUGUAAUUCUUAGUGGCGGACGGGUGAGUAACGCGUGGGCAACCUGCCCUAUACAGGGGGAUAGCAGCUGGAAACGGCUGGUAAGACCGCAUAAGUCGGUUAAAUCGCAUGAUUUGAUCGGGAAAUGAGCAAUCAGGUAUAGGAUGGGCCCGCGUCCGAUUAGCCAGUUGGCAGGGUAAAAGCCUACCAAAGCGACGAUCGGUAGCCGGACUGAGAGGUCGGACGGCCACAUUGGGACUGAGACACGGCCCAAACUCCUACGGGAGGCAGCAGUGGGGGAUAUUGCACAAUGGAGGAAACUCUGAUGCAGCGACGCCGCGUGAGUGAAGAAGUAUUUCGGUAUGUAAAGCUCUAUCAGCAGGGAAGAUGAUGACGGUACCUGACUAAGAAGCCCCGGCUAACUACGUG